rnacentral:rRNA from 1 species
GACGAACGCUGGCGGCGUGCUUAACACAUGCAAGUCGAACGGAAAGGCCCUGCUUUUGUGGGGUGCUCGAGUGGCGAACGGGUGAGUAACACGUGAGUAACCUGCCCUUGACUUUGGGAUAACUUCAGGAAACUGGGGCUAAUACCGGAUAGGAGCUCCUGCUGCAUGGUGGGGGUUGGAAAGUUUCGGCGGUUGGGGAUGGACUCGCGGCUUUUCAGCUUGUUGGUGGGGUAGUGGCUUACCAAGGCUUUGACGGGUAGCCGGCCUGAGAGGGUGACCGGCCACAUUGGGACUGGGAUGCGGCCCAGACUCCUACGGGAGGCAGCAGUGGGGAAUAUUGCACAAUGGGCGGAAGCCUGAUGCAGCAACGCCGCGUGCGGGAUGACGGCCUUCGGGUUGUAAACCGCUUUCGCCUGUGACGAAGCGUGAGUGACGGUAAUGGGUAAAGAAGCACCGGCUAACUACGUG